GCCUGAGAUCCGUCUGUACCUGAAAGCAGGAAGUGAGUCACCGACCCAGAUCGGCGCCGCAGAGUUCACACCGAAGGACACGGAGGGAAAAACAGGUGUGGAUCAUCAGACCGAGAAAACAGUGGAGGGACGUUUUAAUACAGCCACCUGCAAUGGAUGUUGUAGUGAGGAAGAUCAGGAAAUGCACCUUAUUCAAAGGUGCAAUGCCACCUCAGGACUUGUGUCCAGUCACAAAGGAGUGGAAUUGAUGACGCCGUGUCUCGGGAGAGGGGGGGAGGUGAUGCUGAGGAAAUGAAGUUGGACCUUGCCGCACUGGUGUGAGGAUGAAUGUGUGCGCUACACGCCCCGGACACUGUGAGGAAGGAGCGACGCAUGCGCGCGCAAG